CCGGGCCGGUCCUCCCAGGGAACAGCCGCGGCAGCUUCUCCGGCUGUCAAUCAGGGGCAGGAAGGAAAGAUCCUUUACGGCCUGUCCUGGUACCUUGUUUUGUCUAGUGUCUGUGAAUAACCCCUGAAGAAGAGAGAGAGCAUACCCUCACCAGUUUUAAACACCGAGAGUCUGCAUUUUUGUGACCUGCAGCAGCCAUCCUCAGCGCCGGAGACUGAUAGCUGAGCGACCACUCCCAGGAGAGACUUUCUGAAUUUGUCAUCUCUUCAGAACGGUGAAAGAGUUUUGU